CCUGUCUGCCCAGCCCCCUCCAGGCCGGGCUUCCGGGCUUCCGGGGCCGGCCUCUGGAAACCUGGUGCUGCUGCAGAGCAGAAGAGGGGAGGAGGGUCAUGCAGAGUCACCCCCUGCAGAAAGCGGGGCCUGCGCAAGGGACAGGCUUACCUGAGGCCCUCUUCCACCACAUCCAUGUUCAUUCCUAUGUUCACUUUUGGGAGCUCUGAGCUUCCAAGGCCCCUUAGCCAGCUGGCAGAAGCCCAGUUUCCUAGUACCUCAGCCUCCACCCUCUUCUCCCCACAAGCAUGUCCAGAAAUGCUCACCUGCUCUGCAAAGUACCAGUGUCCGCUGGAAUUUCUUCUCUGGAUACUGCUCCAGGGAGGAAUAACUGAAGGAGUGCGGCUUGGUCUCCAACAGUGACAAGAAUUAUAACAGGGAAGCCCUGAGACACACGGCCUUCCUGGGUCUGCUGCCCUGCAGCCACUUGGUCAGACUGGCUUUGAAUUUUUAGGUAAGUCCUCUGUAGCUGUCCCAUUCACCUCGCAUGCUGCCACUUCUGCAAAGGCUCCGGGACAUGGUGCCCCGCUAAGUCCUGGAGAGUAGGGACCCCACAGACUGAGUCAGUGGAUCAUGCUUCUGGGCACAGGCAGGUGGGGGACAGCGAGGGCCCUUUCAAGCCUGUAAAUGCUUAGACUCAAG
rnacentral:lncRNA from 1 species